UGGUUCCGCCGUGGACAAGCUGAAGUCUCUCUGGGGCCAGGGGACCCGCACGGCCCAGCCGCCCCACCCCACCAUCUCCCAGGCAUGUGAGAAAAUAUCACAUUCUCUGUGUUUUGGAGAUUUCUUCUAAAUGUAUUUUCCAACUAUCAUUUCAUAGCAAAUCAGCAAGAAAAAAGGUAUAAUAUUAGGCAGAAACCCAAUUUAAAAAGAAAAGCAGAGCUGUUGUAGAUUCAGCGAGGGUUGGCGACCUGGUUCCAAUGAGCCAUCUCCCUGUUCCGACAGGGGCUUCCUGGAGCUCCUGCAACCCCAGGCAUUAGUUCCAGUGCAGUUCUAGGAUCAGAUCAAUUCACUCGACAACAAGAGAAACAAAUGGAGAUUCCUACACAAAGACUUUCAAGCACAAAGAAAUCCUGCUGCCUAUAAAGCAGAGCUGCCUCAGCUCUUGAUGAACGACAGAAAAUACCACCUACUGCCAGACCUCUUCGCCUCACAAAACUCUCACCCACCUACUGCUUUUAGCUCAAAUUCCAGGAAUUCAGAUGAAGUGAAGUGCUCUCAUGGGGACCAGGCGUGGGUAUGCCAGUCCACUGCCCUGCAAGUCUCAAGGGAAACCAACUGCCCAUCAGCAAGUCACACCUGCCUUGGUGG
rnacentral:lncRNA from 1 species